UUAAAUUUUGUUUUUCUUCAGAUACAAAGCUAAAUAGCAUAGACUCGAUACCCAGAGACGUCGAAGUACAUCUCACUUCCGUAGAUUUAUGGAUGAAGGAUCCCAGAGGAUCCAUCUUUUUAAUAAUCCAUCCAUAGAUUCAUCUACGGAGA
rnacentral:misc_RNA from 1 species